rnacentral:rRNA from 1 species
UGACCUCGAUCAGUAGAGCCAGUCAUGGUACUUAAGCAUAUCAAUAAGCGGAGGAA